rnacentral:misc_RNA from 1 species
UCUCCGUUGGUGAACCAGCGGAGGGAUCAUUACCGAGUUAACAACUCCCAAACCCCUGUGAACAUACCACAACGUUGCCUCGGCGGGACCGCCCCGGCGCCCCUAGCGGCCCGGAACCAGGCGCCCGCCGGAGGACCCAAACUCUUGCUUUGAACAGUGGCAUACUCUCUGAGUCUCAAAAACAAAAAUAAAUUAAAACUUUCAACAACGGAUCUCUUGGCUCUG